rnacentral:rRNA from 1 species
UUGGCGGACAGGUGAGUAACGCGUGGGGAACCUGCCCUGUACAGGGGGAUAACACUUAGAAAUAGGUGCUAAUACCGCAUAAGCGCACGGGAGCGCAUGCUCCUGUGUGAAAAACUCCGGUGGUAUGGGAUGGACCCGCGUCUGAUUAGCCAGUUGGCAGGGUAACGGCCUACCAAAGCGACGAUCAGUAGCCGGCCUGAGAGGGUGGACGGCCACAUUGGGACUGAGACACGGCCCAAACUCCUACGGGAGGCAGCAG